UUGCAGCCGCGUUAGGGAUAGAAGAGGAAAUCCCGUCUAAAUUUCUAAAAUUUUGACGGAUUGAAACGGAUAGCCCGUCCCGCC
rnacentral:sRNA from 1 species